UAGGGUGUAGCUCAGUGGUAGAGUGCAUGCUUAGAAUGCUGUAGGCUCUGGGUUCAAUCCCCAGCACCAAAA
rnacentral:tRNA from 1 species